AGCGAACGCUGGCGGCAGGCCUAACACAUGCAAGUCGAACGGGCACCUUCGGGUGUCAGUGGCAGACGGGUGAGUAACGCGUGGGAACGUGCCCAUCGGUUCGGGAUAACCCAGGGAAACUUGGGCUAAUACCGGAUACGCCCUUUUGGGGAAAGAUUGAUUGCCGAUGGAUCGGCCCGCGUCUGAUUAGCUUGUUGGUGGGGUAACGGCUCACCAAGGCGACGAUCAGUAGCUGGUCCGAGAGGAUGAUCAGCCACACUGGGACUGAGACACGGCCCAGACUCCUACGGGAGGUAGCAGUGGGGAAUAUUGGACAAUGGGCGCAAGCCUGAUCCAGCCAUGCCGCGUGAGUGAUGAAGGCCCUAGGGUUGUAAAGCUCUUUCACCCACGACGAUAAUGACGGUAGUGGGAGAAGGAGCCCCGGCUAACUUCGUGCCAGCAGCCGCCGUAAUAC
rnacentral:rRNA from 1 species